rnacentral:rRNA from 1 species
AUACGUAGGGGGCGAGCGUUGUCCGGAAUGAUUGGGCGUAAAGGGCGCGUAGGCGGCCCGGUAAGUCUGGAGUGAAAGUCCUGUUUUUAAGAUGGGAAUUGCUUUGGAUACUGUCGGGCUUGAGUGCAGGAGAGGUAAGUGGAAUUCCCAGUGUAGCGGUGAAAUGCGUAGAGAUUGGGAGGAACACCAGUGGCGAAGGCGACUUACUGGACUGUAACUGACGCUGAGGCGCGAAAGUGUGGGGAGCAAACAGGAUUAGAUGCCCUGGUAGUCCACACUGUAAACGAUGAAUGCUAGGUGUAGGGGGUAUCGACCCCUUCUGUGCCGCAGUCAACACAAUAAGCAUUCCGCCUGGGGAGUACGGCCGCAAGGUUGAAACUCAAAGGAAUUGGCGGGG